UUAAAGCUAAUAGCUGCUUGCCUUGCGUUAGUGCAUGGUUUGUGGCUGUUUGUUGCGUGGUCUCGGGGAUGAUUACCGUAAAGGUGCAUGAGUGGUGUUUGGUUUGUUACGGGUGGUUGGCUCCUUGCUUGCGCAACCAACUUCCACCUGGCAUACCUCUUCAGUUAUGUGUCAAUGCUUGCAUCGCAUUAGCGCAUCGUGGGUUUCUUGUGCUGCAUUCCUAAUCGAUGGUAUCCUCUGAUGAACUGAUGGCUAUCUUCAUCUUGUGUCGCAUAUGCGACGUGAGAUGGACCUGAAAUCAACCAUUGCGAUCCACUCUCUCUAUUGCUCACGCAACGAUUUUGUGGCUUGCUAAGCGUUGGUUGGUCUCAUUGGUAUGGAACGUUUCGUGGGCAUGAGAUCUUUUAUAAGCUCUUUGUUUGCCCUAGUUAAGCUUUUCAAACACGAUUUCCUAUCACGUCUUGACGUGGUAGGAUCUAUCGAAUAUGAAUG
rnacentral:misc_RNA from 1 species